CGAGCGCGGAAGGGGGUCAUUAAAUCAGUUAUCGUUUAUUUGAUAGUACCUUACUACAUGGAUACCUGUGGUAAUUCUAGAGCUAAUACAUGCUAAAAACCCCGACUCACGAAGGGGUGUAUUUAUUAGAUAAAAAACCAACGCCCUUCGGGGCUCCUUGGUGAAUCAUAAUAACUUAACGAAUCGCAUGGCCUUGCGCCGGCGAUGGUUCAUUCAAAUUUCUGCCCUAUCAACUUUCGAUGGUAGGAUAGUGGCCUACCAUGGUGGCAACGGGUAACGGGGAAUUAGGGUUCGAUUCCGGAGAGGGAGCCUGAGAAACGGCUACCACAUCCAAGGAAGGCAGCAGGCGCGCAAAUUACCCAAUCCCGAUACGGGGAGGUAGUGACAAUAAAUACUGAUACGGGGCUCUUUUGGGUCUCGUAAUUGGAAUGAGAACAAUUUAAAUCCCUUAACGAGGAACAAUUGGAGGGCAAGUCUGGUGCCAGCAGCCGCGGUAAUUCCAGCUCCAAUAGCGUAUAUUAAAGUUGUUGCAGUUAAAAAGCUCGUAGUUGAACCUUGGGUCUGGCUGGCCGGUCCGCCUCACCGCGAGUACUGGUCCGGCUGGACCUUUCCUUCUGGGGAACCUCAUGGCCUUCACUGGCUGUGGGGGGAACCAGGAC
rnacentral:rRNA from 1 species